GUGUUACACUGCCUUAGGACCUGGCAGUCUCACUCCUAGGUGUUUACCCAAGUAUCUUAAAUAGUGAAGAUGGAGAAAUAUUCAAUAAUGAAGAGCAUGAAUAUGCAUCCAAAAAAAGGAAAAAGGACCAUUUUAGAAAUGACACAAAUACUCAAAAGGCAUGGCUAUUGCACCUUGGGAGAAGCCUUUAAUCGGUUAGACUUCUCAAGUGCAAUUCAAGAUAUCCGAAGGUUCAAUUAUGUGGUCAAACUGUUGCAGCUAAUUGCAAAAUCCCAGUUAACUUCAUUGAGUGGUGUGGCACAAAAGAAUUACUUCAACAUUUUGGAUAAAAUCGUUCAAAAGGUUCUUGAUGACCACCACAAUCCUCGCUUAAUCAAAGAUCUUCUGCAAGACCU
rnacentral:sRNA from 1 species